rnacentral:rRNA from 1 species
GACGAACGCUGGCGGCGUGCUUAACACAUGCAAGUCGAACGGAAAGGCCCUGCUUUUGUGGGGUGCUCGAGUGGCGAACGGGUGAGUAACACGUGAGUAACCUGUCCUUGACUUUGGGAUAACUUCAGGAAACUGGGGCUAAUACCGGAUAGGAGCUCCUGCUGCAUGGGGGGGGUUGGAAAGUUUCGGCGGUUGGGGAUGGACUCGCGGCUUAUCAGCUUGUUGGUGGGGUAGUGGCUUACCAAGGCUUUGACGGGUAGCCGGCCUGAGAGGGUGACCGGCCACAUUGGGACUGCGAUACGGCCCAGACUCCUACGGGAGGCAGCAGUGGGGAAUAUUGCACAAUGGGCGGAAGCCUGAUGCAGCAGCGCCGCGUGCGGGAUGACGGCCUUCGGGUUGUAAACCGCUUUCGCCUGUGACGAAGCGUGAGUGACGGUACUGGGUAAAGAAGCACCGGCUAACUACGUG